rnacentral:rRNA from 1 species
UAGAGUUUGGAUCUGGCUCAGGAUGAACGCUGGCGGCGUGCCUAAUACAUGCAAGUCGAACGAACUUCCGUUAAUUGAUUAUGACGUACUUGUACUGAUUGAGAUUUUAACACGAAGUGAGUGGCGAACGGGUGAGUAACACGUGGGUAACCUGCCCAGAAGUAGGGGAUAACACCUGGAAACAGAUGCUAAUACCGUAUAACAGAGAAAACCGCAUGGUUUUCUUUUAAAAGAUGGCUCUGCUAUCACUUCUGGAUGGACCCGCGGCGUAUUAGCUAGUUGGUGAGGUAAAGGCUCACCAAGGCAGUGAUACGUAGCCGACCUGAGAGGGUAAUCGGCCACAUUGGGACUGAGACACGGCCCAGACUCCUACGGGAGGCAGCAGUAGGGAAUCUUCCACAAUGGACGCAAGUCUGAUGGAGCAACGCCGCGUGAGUGAAGAAGGGUUUCGGCUCGUAAAGCUCUGUUGUUAAAGAAGAACGUGGGUAAGAGUAACUGUUACCCAGUGACGGUAU